rnacentral:snRNA from 1 species
GUGCUUGCUUCAGCAGCCCAUAUACUAAAAUUGGAACAAUAUAGAGAAGAUUAGCAUGUCCCCUGCACAAAGAUGGCACACAAAUUUAUGAAGCAUUCCAUAUUUUU